rnacentral:rRNA from 1 species
GUGUCAGCCGCCGCGGUAAUACGGAGGGGGCUAGCGUUGUUCGGAAUCACUGGGCGUAAAGCGUACGUAGGCGGCUUGUCAAGUCAGGGGUGAAAGCCUGGGGCUCAACCUCAGAACUGCCCUUGAAACUGGCUAGCUUGAACAUAGGAGAGGUGAGUGGAAUUCCGAGUGUAGAGGUGAAAUUCGUAGAUAUUCGGAGGAACACCAGUGGCGAAGGCGACUCACUGGACUAUUGUUGACGCUGGGGUACGAAAGCGUGGGGAGCAAACAGGAUUAGAUACCCUGGUAGUCCACGCCGUAAACGAUGGAUGCUAGCUGUCGGGGCUCUUUGAGCUUCGGUGGCGCAGCUAACGCAUUAAGCAUCCCGCCUGGGAAGUACGGUCGCAAGAUUAAA